CAAAUACUCCCUCCAUUCGGAAUUACUCGUCCAAGAAAUGAAUGUAUCUAGAUGUAUUUUAGUUGUAGAUACAUCCAUUUUUGUGACAAGUAAUUCCAAACAGAGGGAGUACAAA
rnacentral:pre_miRNA from 1 species